rnacentral:rRNA from 1 species
UACGUAGGGUGCGAGCGUUAAUCGGAAUUACUGGGCGUAAAGCGUGCGCAGGCGGUUUUGUAAGCCAGAUGUGAAAGCCCCGGGCUUAACCUGGGAAUGGCAUUUGGGACUGCAAGGCUUGAGUGCGGCAGAGGAGACUGGAAUUCCUGGUGUAGCAGUGAAAUGCGUAGAUAUCAGGAGGAAUACCGAUGGCGAAGGCAGGUCUCUGGGCUGACACUGACGCUCAUGCACGAAAGCGUGGGGAGCGAA